ACUAUCGUUAACUGAAUACAUAGGUUAACGAGGCGAACCGGGGGAACUGAAACAUCUAAGUACCCCGAGGAAAAGAAAUCAACCGAGAUUCCCCCAGUAGCGGCGAGCGAACGGGGAGCAGCCCAGAGUCUGAAUCAGCUUGUGUGUUAGUGGAACGGUCUGGAAAGUCCGACGGUACAGGGUGAUAGUCCCGUACACCAAAAUGCACAGGCUGUGAACUCGAAGAGUAGGGCGGGACACGUGGUAUCCUGUCUGAAUAUGGGGGGACCAUCCUCCAAGGCUAAAUACUCCUGACUGACCGAUAGUGAACCAGUACCGUGAGGGAAAGGCGAAAAGAACCCCGGCGAGGGGAGUGAAAAAGAACCUGAAACCGUGUACGUACAAGCAGUGGGAGCACCUUCGGGUGUGACUGCGUACCUUUUGUAUAAUGGGUCAGCGACUUAUAUUCUGUAGCAAGGUUAACCGUAUAGGGGAGCCGCAGGGAAACCGAGUCUUAACUGGGCGUUAAGUUGCAGGGUAUAGACCCGAAACCCGGUGAUCUAGCCAUGGGCAGGUUGAAGGUUGGGUAACACUAACUGGAGGACCGAACCGACUAAUGUUGAAAAAUUAGCGGAUGACUUGUGGCUGGGGGUGAAAGGCCAAUCAAACCGGGAGAUAGCUGGUUCUCCCCGAAAGCUAUUUAGGUAGCGCCUCGUGAAUUCAUCUUCGGGGGUAGAGCACUGUUUCGGCUAGGGGGUCAUCCCGACUUACCAACCCGAUGCAAACUACGAAUACCGAAGAAUGUUAUCACGGGAGACACACGGCGGGUGCUAACGUCCGUCGUGAAGAGGGAAACAACCCAGACCGCCAGCUAAGGUCCCAAAGUCAUGGUUAAGUGGGAAACGAUGUGGGAAGGCACAGACAGCCAGGAUGUUGGCUUAGAAGCAGCCAUCAUUUAAAGAAAGCGUAAUAGCUCACUGGUCGAGUCGGCCUGCGCGGAAGAUGUAACGGGGCUAAACCAUGCACCGAAGCUGCGGCAGCGACACUAUGUGUUGUUGGGUAGGGGAGCGUUCUGUAAGCCUGCGAAGGUGUGCUGUGAGGCAUGCUGGAGGUAUCAGAAGUGCGAAUGCUGACAUAAGUAACGAUAAAGCGGGUGAAAAGCCCGCUCGCCGGAAGACCAAGGGUUCCUGUCCAACGUUAAUCGGGGCAGGGUGAGUCGACCCCUAAGGCGAGGCCGAAAGGCGUAGUCGAUGGGAAACAGGUUAAUAUUCCUGUACUUGGUGUUACUGCGAAGGGGGGACGGAGAAGGCUAUGUUAGCCGGGCGACGGUUGUCCCGGUUUAAGCAUGUAGGCUGGUUGUCCAGGCAAAUCCGGAUAAUCAAGGCUGAGGUGUGAUGACGAGGCACUACGGUGCUGAAGUAACAAAUGCCCUGCUUCCAGGAAAAGCCUCUAAGCAUCAGGUAACAUCAAAUCGUACCCCAAACCGACACAGGUGGUCAGGUAGAGAAUACCAAGGCGCUUGAGAGAACUCGGGUGAAGGAACUAGGCAAAAUGGUGCCGUAACUUCGGGAGAAGGCACGCUGGUGUGUAGGUGAAGUCCCUGCGGAUGGAGCUGAGACCAGUCGAAGAUACCAGCUGGCUGCAACUGUUUAUUAAAAACACAGCACUGUGCAAACACGAAAGUGGACGUAUACGGUGUGACGCCUGCCCGGUGCCGGAAGGUUAAUUGAUGGGGUUAUCCGUAAGGAGAAGCUCUUGAUCGAAGCCCCGGUAAACGGCGGCCGUAACUAUAACGGUCCUAAGGUAGCGAAAUUCCUUGUCGGGUAAGUUCCGACCUGCACGAAUGGCGUAAUGAUGGCCAGGCUGUCUCCACCCGAGACUCAGUGAAAUUGAACUCGCUGUGAAGAUGCAGUGUACCCGCGGCAAGACGGAAAGACCCCGUGAACCUUUACUAUAGCUUGACACUGAACAUUGAGCCUUGAUGUGUAGGAUAGGUGGGAGGCUUUGAAGCGUGGACGCCAGUCUGCGUGGAGCCAACCUUGAAAUACCACCCUUUAAUGUUUGAUGUUCUAACGUUGGCCCCUUACCGGGGUUGCGGACAGUGUCUGGUGGGUAGUUUGACUGGGGCGGUCUCCUCCCAAAGCGUAACGGAGGAGCACGAAGGUUAGCUAAUCCUGGUCGGACAUCAGGAGGUUAGUGCAAUGGCAUAAGCUAGCUUGACUGCGAGCGUGACGGCGCGAGCAGGUGCGAAAGCAGGUCAUAGUGAUCCGGUGGUUCUGAAUGGAAGGGCCAUCGCUCAACGGAUAAAAGGUACUCCGGGGAUAACAGGCUGAUACCGCCCAAGAGUUCAUAUCGACGGCGGUGUUUGGCACCUCGAUGUCGGCUCAUCACAUCCUGGGGCUGAAGUAGGUCCCAAGGGUAUGGCUGUUCGCCAUUUAAAGUGGUACGCGAGCUGGGUUUAGAACGUCGUGAGACAGUUCGGUCCCUAUCUGCCGUGGGCGCUGGAGAAUUGAGGGGGGCUGCUCCUAGUACGAGAGGACCGGAGUGGACGCAUCACUGGUGUUCGGGUUGUCAUGCCAAUGGCACUGCCCGGUAGCUAAAUGCGGAAGAGAUAAGUGCUGAAAGCAUCUAAGCACGAAACUUGCCCCGAGAUGAGUUCUCCCUGAGACUUUAAGUCUCCUGAAGGAACGUUGAAGACGACGACGUUGAUAGGCCGGGUGUGUAAGCGCAGCGAUGCGUUGAGCUAACCGGUACUAAUGAACCGUGAGGCUUAACC
rnacentral:rRNA from 1 species